AUUGAACGCUGGCGGCAUGCCUUACACAUGCAAGUCGAACGGUAACGGGCCUCCGGGUGCCGACGAGUGGCGAACGGGUGAGUAAUGUAUCGGAACGUACCUUUCAGUGGGGGAUAACGUAGCGAAAGUUACGCUAAUACCGCAUAUUCUGUGAGCAGGAAAGCAGGGGAUCGCAAGACCUUGCGCUGAUUGAGCGGCCGAUAUCAGAUUAGCUAGUUGGUGAGGUAAAGGCUCACCAAGGCGACGAUAUGUAGCGGGUCUGAGAGGAUGAUCGGCCACACUGGAACUGAGACACGGUCCAGACUCCUACGGGAGGCAGCAGUGGGGAAUUUUGUCCAAUGGGGGCAACCCUGAUCCAGCCAUGCCGCGUGAGUGAAGAAGGCCUUCGGGUUGUAAAGCUCUUUCGGCUGGGAAGAAAUCGUAUCAGCUAAUACCUGGUGCGGAUGACGGUACCGGCAUAAGAAGCACCGGCUAACUACGUGCCAGCCGCCGCGGUAACAC
rnacentral:rRNA from 1 species